UACGUAGGGGGCAAGCGUUGUCCGGAAUUAUUGGGCGUAAAGCGCGUGUAGGCGGUCCGCUAAGUCGGCUGUGAAAGUCCAGGGCUCAACCCCGGGUCGGCCGUGGCAACUGCUGGGCUAGAGCACUGUAGAGGCAGGUGGAAUUCCGGGUGUAGCGGUGGAAUGCGUAGAGAUCCGGAAGAACACCGGUGGCGAAGGCGGCCUGCUGGGCAGUAGCUGACGCUGAUGCGCGACAGCGUGGGGAGCAAACAGG
rnacentral:rRNA from 1 species